rnacentral:rRNA from 1 species
AUUGAACGCUGGCGGCGUGCUUAACACAUGCAAGUCGAUCGGUAACGCGGGGGCAACCCUGGCGACGAGAGGCGGACGGGUGAGGAACGCUUGGGAAUCUGCCCAUCAGCGGGGGACAACCCGGGGAAACUCGGGCUAAUACCGCAUACGCUCUACGGAGGAAAGCCGGGGACCGCAAGGCCUGGCACUGAUGGAUGAGCCCAAGUCGGAUUAGCUAGUUGGCGGGGUAACGGCCCACCAAGGCGACGAUCCGUAGCUGGUCUGAGAGGACGAUCAGCCACACUGGGACUGAGACACGGCCCAGACUCCUACGGGAGGCAGCAGUGGGGAAUAUUGGACAAUGGGGGCAACCCUGAUCCAGCGACGCCGCGUGGGUGAAGAAGGCCUGCGGAUUGUAAAGCCCUUUCGAUGGGGACGAAAGCUUCCGGCCUAACACGUCGGGAGUCUGACUUAACCCAUAUAAGAAGCACCGGCUAACUCUGUGCCAGCCGCCGCCGUAAUAC